UACGGAGGGCGCAAGCGUUGCUCGGAAUCACUGGGCGUAAAGCGUACGCAGGCGGAUCGUUAAGUCGGGUGUGAAAGCCCGGGGCUCAACCCCGGAACUGCAUUCGAAACUGGCGGUCUUGAGUACGGGAGAGGGAAGCGGAAUUCCUGGUGUAGAGGUGAAAUUCGUAGAUAUCAGGAGGAACACCCGUGGCGAAAGCGGCUUCCUGGCCCGAUACUGACGCUCAUGUACGAAAGCGUGGGGAGCAAACAGGAUUAGAUACCCCAGUA
rnacentral:rRNA from 1 species